rnacentral:rRNA from 1 species
UACGUAGGGAGCGAGCGUUGUCCGGAAUUACUGGGUGUAAAGGGAGCGUAGGCGGGACUGCAAGUUGGGUGUCAAAUCUACCGGCUCAACCGGUAGCCGCACUCAAAACUGCAGUUCUUGAGUGAAGUAGAGGCAGGCGGAAUUCCUAGUGUAGCGGUGAAAUGCGUAGAUAUUAGGAGGAACACCAGUGGCGAAGGCGGCCUGCUGGGCUUUUACUGACGCUGAGGCUCGAAAGUGUGGGGAGCAAACAGG